rnacentral:tRNA from 1 species
GGCGAGAUAGCUCAGUUGGUAGAGCAGUGGACUGAAAAUCCACGUGUCCUCAGUUCGAUUCUGAGUCUCGCCA